GAGGGGUAACAUUGUAGCUUGCUACAGAUGACGACCGGCGCACGGGUGAGUAACGCGUAUGCAACCUGCCUUUGACAGGGGGAUAGCCCGGAGAAAUCCGGAUUAAUAUCCCAUGGUAUUUACGAAUCGCAUGGUUUGUAAAUUAAAGAUUUUAUCGGUCAAAGAUGGGCAUGCGUGACAUUAGCUAGUUGGUAAGGUAACGGCUUACCAAGGCUGCGAUGUCUAGGGGUUCUGAGAGGAUGAUCCCCCACACUGGUACUGAGACACGGACCAGACUCCUACGGGAGGCAGCAGUGAGGAAUAUUGGUCAAUGGGCGCAAGCCUGAACCAGCCAUCCCGCGUGAA
rnacentral:rRNA from 1 species